UUGUUGGCUCUCCAGCUGUAGAAGCCGAGUCCAAGUGGAGCCAAGGAGGGACAUGAAUUCCAGAGCUGUUGUUUUAGUGAAUUUUUUUUCAGCCUUUUUUAGCCUUUCUGGAGAGGUUACAAGAUUCUUUCCACAUGAUUGUAGUGUAGCUGGAGGAUAGGGAAGCCUAUUAGAAACCCCUGUUGAGUCAGAGUCUGGUGAGGUGUGAGAAGAAACAAAGGAAUCUGCCUUCAACUGGUUUUUCAAAGCUGGAGAAAUCCUGGGAGGAGAAGAAAAAAGGAGAGGUAAAUGCAUGCUGGGAAACAAAGAUGAGAAGAUUGAGUCCUGGGAAAGGGAAGUCAAGUGUAAGGUCCAAUAUAAAGGAGGAAUCAAAGGACUGCAAGACAAUUGGGAGUGGAUGGCGGUACUCUCCCAAUUGGGAGACACUGGAAUCAUAGAACCCAGCAUGUGAUUUUCCACCAUCAAUCAAGGAAUUGGAGAGAAAAAUGAGAGAAAGAUGGACCACCUUCUCAUUGACUAUUCAUCAAUUAGAGAUGUCUUCAGAUGUGUAGAGGAGGGAUGAAUAGUUCCAAAGUUGUAUUAAUUGAUCCUUAUGGUGAGAUUUCUUGGUCUUUGAUCACCGAGAAAGAUUAUUGAUCAAUUAAUUUAUUGACCAUUGAUUGCCUAAUCAAUAAAUUUAUUUUCUUGUCCCUAAAGUCAGUCUCAGAAUUUUUCACAUCACAGCAUCUAAAGGCAUAUUUGAACUCAAAUCUUCCUAAUCUUAGCUCAGCACUAUAUCCACUGCACUUUACCAAACAGGCCAAGGAAAUUAGAGUCUUAGACUUUAGGAGCCAAAGCAUAACUGGACAGGAAUCCCCUCCCCAAUUUCCUAGGCAAGUGGUCAACUAGAUUUCCCUUCAGGGCCUCUAAGAAAGAGGUACUACUUUCCUGACAAGAUACUCUGCCUCCCAACUUUUAAGCCUUUCCCCUGGCUGUCCCCAGUGAUUCACUGUCUUCCUUCAAG